GUCUCGUGCAGCUUUGAGCACAUUUCCUGGUAUAUUUGAGAUUCGUGGAAAUGUGAUUGUGUGUUCUUUAGAAAUAAAAAUAAGUGUCUGUGGGGUGCUGCAAUUGCAGUGACACAUCGAUCACAGUUUGAAAGGUUUAAACAGACUCUGCAUGAAAACUGCUGCAUUACUGUCUUUUAGACAGCAGAACCAGACAGCAAUGCAACAGAGGUUAUAUGUUUAAGAGAAAACAGACGUUAAACAACAGUUUGCAUAGAACAGAUUUUUUUACAAGCAGGAAAUUUUAAAUUGGUACAAAAAAGAAAUACCAGAGGUCAUCCAAACCAUCAAGAUGCUUCUUUUAUCUGACUAAAGCUUAAUUUAUAGUGCUGCAUUAACCUGUAGAGACCCUAUAUCCUCUGGCAUAGUCUGGCAUCCACCUUGCUGCUGUGGCAACGCAGCCUACAGUGGCGGUAAUAUGCUCAAAAAUGUAUAUUGAUUAUUACAAGGAUAAUGCCUCUGUGAACCAACGUGUAAUAGGCUCUAGUUGCAUUUAGUGUGCUCACAGUGCUAAUUCAUUACCCAGUGUUAAUGUAACACUGAAAAACAACUCAUUUUGACAGUUAAUAGAAUUGAAUAUUGGGGAAAUGACUCCAUUCAUGUUUAUUUUUUUUAUAUUACGACUGUAAUUCCAACAAGGACAUUUUAAACAGUUGGUUUUUACACAUCCAGUAGCUGCGGAGCCACAUUGCCAUUCAGCUGGGCAGGUGUUUCUGGCUCCUUUUUAUCUAUUUGCUCUCUAUUUACCUGUGUUUUCGCUUUCCUCCACCACCUCAGAGGAAUGUCUGGCUGUCAAGAUACUAAAUGCUCCACUGUGAUCUCAUAGUGACUGGUCCUGAGAUCUAGUCUGAACCAACGCUGAUGAGAGCAGUAAGAUUAAGCAACGCUGGGUCUGAUUUACCACCGUAAUCGUGUGGUGUUUUUCUCUCUUUCCCGUUGUUCCGCAUUUAUCAGCUCCAAGUCCAACACAGCAGAGCACUGCAGACACAACAGCGCACAAGUAUGAUUGUAAAACCACGCCACUCAUUAUGGCGUGGGAGUCACUAAAGGACCAUGAUAGGAAAGAGAAAUCACACGAGGAUCCAGACAUUUUUAAUUUGUAGUUUUAAUUAAUAAUGCAUCACUCAUAUAGCCUCCUCACUUUGUGGACAUAAAGCCGUCAUGAGACGUAGAUUGAUCAUGAUCUUUGAUCGUGUUGUUUCCCUGUACCAUAGCCGAGCCUUUCUGGAUGCACAUAACAGUGAAUGAAGCAGCUCUAUUACUACGAGACCGAGCCCUUUCUUGCUUUCCUCGUUGGCUAGCUUGUUAGCUUGCAGGUGCUGUGGAUGUCUGCCUGUCUAUGUCAUUUUGAUGGGACGCUUGUUGCUGUGCAGACCACAAAGAACACUGGCCAGGCCGAACAUUAAGAACCUGUUUAAAUGUGUGGCCCGGAUUUUAAAUUUUCAGGGCCUUGAUUUUUUUUUUUUAGCAUAGGCAGAUUCAGCACAGGACUAUAAAUUAAGCUUCCUCCAAAAACUGUAGAAAAAGAAAGCUUUCUAUCACUUAGCACCAAGAAAAGUUGUCAAAUCUGAGCAGAUUUCUCUGUUAUGUUUGGAAAAUCCAUUUAAUUACUGAUAAAAACAGUUUCAGAUUAUUUCCUGGUACUCAAAUGAUCUUUGAAUCUACCAACUUCUUAUUUUUUGCCAUAAAAGAAAUGCUGAUUUUGAAUCAAUGCAGCAUGGUUUUACAAUAUAAAUUUAAUAUUUAGAAAAAAGUUUCUUUUUCAAAUUUGCUGUUGCAGUUAGGCUGUGCUGAGGUGAAUGGUCUGUCCUGUCUUUGUUUCUGUGUUACAAUGUGCUGCUCUUCGUUUUUGUACUAAAGGGUCUCAGAUCAAAGCCUGUACAUACAGAACACGUCAAACACGACUUUAUUAACAAUAACCCAGUCGAGCAAAGACAGCCGGCAAGAGAUUCCAGAGACAGUUUUCAGUAUUGCAGCUUUUGCAAGCAUGCCCUUUGAGCACUAAACUUCAAAGGCCUUUUUUUACAUCGGUGGAAUGUACUGAUAGACAAUGUCCACCACAUAGGUUGUGAUAAAGGCGGAUUGUGUGUGUUGUGACAUAGUUUCAAGAGUAAGAGUGUGCAGGGGUAUCAAAUAUCGACAUUGUGCUGUGUGGAAGUCGGAAGCAUGCUUUUUAACCAUGCCUAUGAAAUGCGUCUCAUCUUUGGUCCUAUUUAAAUGUGCUUGUAUUUAUUUUUUAUAAGUGAAUAGAUCGACCUUUGCAAGAAAAGAAGAAAAUUCAGUGCUGCCCUUUGACCUUUUUGAGUCAAGCUCCCCCGUCAGUUCUGCUAAGAGUUUAUUUAAAUCAUUCAUGAUUUCCUGUUUGCUUUCACCACGUAUCCUCAUAUGUUCCACCGGUUUUAUCUAUAGCAAAUCAAGAAAAGCACAUCAGACUCCAAACAGACCAACAACGAAACAACAUGGAGGAUAAGACAGAAUAAUUCACUUUCAGAGGACUGAACAUCUGCUAAAAUCAACUACAAAUGAGAAAAAAACUGUGACGUGUAGGGUCACGUGGACCCGCGCAGUCUGUAGAUUACACUGUGGUGCAUGCAGCCAUCUCCAUUCAUCCUUUUCUUUGCAUAACUUUAAGUUCCAAGUAACGGGGGCCAAAACAAAAAGGGAAAACGUGAUCGAUCAAGGAAUCUUUUUUUAAAAAGUUCUUUGUGUCAAACUGUAGUGAUGCUGUGGACUCUUUAAAGUUUGGAUGUAAGAUAAAAUGAGAAAAAAAUUAAAUUAAUCCUCAUCCGAAUGUUGAAACUAUUAAAAAUGUUUUUUUUUAUAUUA
ensembl:lncRNA